GCCUGUUAAGCGUCCGUUUCUUUCCGCUGAUUGACCUUUACACCCUAAGGCCUUCUUCGUCACGCCGCAUGGCUGGAUCAGGGUUGCCCCCAUUGUCCAAAAUUCCCCACUGCUGCCUCCCGUAGG
rnacentral:rRNA from 1 species